rnacentral:rRNA from 1 species
UACGUAGGGUGCAAGCGUUGUCCGGAAUUAUUGGGCGUAAAGAGCUCGUAGGCGGUCUGUCGCGUCGGCUGUGAAAACCUGGGGCUCAACCCCGGGCUUGCAGCCGAUACGGGCAGACUAGAAUUCGGUAGGGGAGACUGGAAUUCCUGGUGUAGCGGUGAAAUGCGCAGAUAUCAGGAAGAACACCCGUGGCGAAGGCGGCUCUCUGGAACGCAACUGACGCUGAGACGCGAAAGCGUGGGGAGCAAACAGG